AGUGAACGCUGGCGGUAGGCCUAACACAUGCAAGUCGAACGGCAGCACAGUAAGAGCUUGCUCUUACGGGUGGCGAGUGGCGGACGGGUGAGGAAUACAUCGGAAUCUACUUUUUCGUGGGGGAUAACGUAGGGAAACUUACGCUAAUACCGCAUACGACCUACGGGUGAAAGCAGGGGAUCUUCGGACCUUGCGCGAUUGAAUGAGCCGAUGUCGAAUUAGCUAGUUGGCGGGGUAAAGGCCCACCAAGGCGACGAUCCGUAGCUGGUCUGAGAGGAUGAUCAGCCACACUGGAACUGAGACACGGUCCAGACUCCUACGGGAGGCAGCAGUGGGGAAUAUUGGACAAUGGGCGCAAGCCUGAUCCAGCCAUACCGCGUGGGUGAAGAAGGCCUUCGGGUUGUAAAGCCCUUUUGUUGGGAAAGAAAAGCAGCAGGCUAAUACCCCGCUGUUCUGACGGUACCCAAAGAAUAAGCACCGGCUAACUUCGUG
rnacentral:rRNA from 1 species